GGAAGUUAAAAAAUCGUAACAAGGUCUCCGUUGGUGAACCAGCGGAGGGAUCAUUGCUGGAACGCGCUUCGGCGCACCCAGAAACCCUUUGUGAACUUAUACCUAUUGUUGCCUCGGCGUAGGCCGGCCUCUUCACUGAGGCCCCCUGGAAACAGGGAGCAGCCCGCCGGCGGCCAACCAAACUCUUGUUUCUACAGUGAAUCUCUGAGUAAAAAACAUAAAUGAAUCAAAACUUUCAACAACGGAUCUCUUGGUUCUGGCAUCGAUGAAGAACGCAGCGAAAUGCGAUAAGUAAUGUGAAUUGCAGAAUUCAGUGAAUCAUCGAAUCUUUGAACGCACAUUGCGCCCUCUGGUAUUCCGGAGGGCAUGCCUGUUCGAGCGUCAUUUCAACCCUCAAGCCUGGCUUGGUGAUGGGGCACUGCCUGUAAAAGGGCAGGCCCUGAAAUCUAGUGGCGAGCUCGCCAGGACCCCGAGCGUAGUAGUUAUAUCUCGCUCUGGAAGGCCCUGGCGGUGCCCUGCCGUUAAACCCCCAACUUCUGAAAAUUGACCUCGAUCAGUAGA
rnacentral:rRNA from 1 species